GGUGACCUACCGUCGCCCCCUUAAGACUUUCCACUUCCGUGGUUUUGCUGAAUAUUUAUUAAAUGGCACUGUUUCACUUUCACAUGUGCAAAUAUAUUCAUUAAGGUUGAGCGGCAAUAAAUCUGCAAAGUACGUUGUGAAUCUGCAAAUUCAUAAUGAAUAGAAGCUGAAUUCUGAAGGCUUCUUGGUUACUGAAUCCUGAAGGCUGCAAUUUGAAAUAUGAGAACUGUGAAAGGUUCUGUUGCAGGAGAAUACUUUGGCCUAUGCAUUUUCUGGUUGGCACCAGCUAGUUAUGGCAAUUGAUUGGACACAAUUGGUGAAAGAAGAAUGAUGUGUUAUUCUCACUCAUGAUCUUAGUUAUUUGAUUUGUUUAUAUAAUAUUAGUAUCAUGUUAGUCACAUGUUAUUUGUGAGAAUUCUUUCAAUAAUGCAUGAUUUUGAGAUGCCUCUCUCAACUUGCACUAUGAAUGUUUUGACUAUAUUAUCAUAUAAUAUAAUAGAAUAUACUUAGAUACCAUGUGUCAAGGAAUGAAACUGAAAUAAUCUAAAAUUAUUUUAUUCUUAAUAAUGUGGUAGUAGCAUCUGAUUCAUAUGCUCUCUAUACGUGAAACACACUACAAUGAUGUGUUAUUCAUAUGCUGAAAAUUUUAAAUAGCUAACUACAAUGUCACUUUUUUUGUUGUUGUUGAUUAUAUAUGUUGUGUUAACUCUUUUUAAUGUGGUAGUGAGGUUAUCAAUUUACAAACAUAAUUAGACUAGCCGGCCGUAAUUUUUUCUAGAGAAAGAAGCUCAAUUUCCCUUCUAAUUUCUCUCAGGGGGUUCAAAAACAAACUCAUGGUCUCUUGGACUCAGGUUCAAACAUAUUAUUUUUCUCCCAGGUUGCAAAGGCCCUGAACCUGACCUUGUACUCAGGUUGUGGUUUAUGAAUCGGUAUCGAAUUGUUGACGUUACCAUUGCGCGCCAAGUGUUGGUAAAUUGCUUCAACCAAAUUUCUUUCCUCUUUUCGGUUCUAUUUGGAUGUGAAUUGUAAUGCUGGAUUUUCUGUUAUUGUUUGUUGAAUUUGUUGUGAUUAUAAUUUAUUUUAAUAUGAAUAUAGUCCCUAGAUGAGAUAAAAAAGAGUGUAACCAUAACAUCCAAAAUUAUUCUUUGCAUAACAUUGACAAUUCUUGCAAGGUUCAUUAAUGCUUAGCAUAAUUGAUUUAUUGUCGAGUCACAGGCAAACGAGAGUGUUGAAAUAACAUAAAAUUUGUGCCAGCACUCUAAAGAAAAGACAUAAUGGUAAUAGAUAGAUUGGAAAUGGGAGGAUUGUUUCUACUCUACCAUUAUAGAUCAAAGUUCCUUUUCAUAUGAGAUUUGUAAAUUCUAAGAUUUAUAUAGUUUUGAAAGUUUUCUUUACUGUGAAACUUAGAAAAACUGGGUGUUAUAUUCUCCUGCUAUCAUGUUUGAAGUCGUCAGAGGACUCAGACGGGGUUUAAUACAUAUUAGUGGUUUGAUUGCACACAACAUAUAAUGAAGGGUCAAAAUGUGUCAUGACUGUUAUCUUUGUAGAUUAUCUGGUUUGAGGAGAAAUUAAAUUAUAUUUGAAGUAAUUAGAAUCAUCACAUCAUUUCAUAGCCAUCAUCUACGGUAAUUCUGAUUUCAUAAGAUAGUUACUACAAACACUGAAUUCAUGUCAUGCAAUGUCAUGCCAAGCUUCAAAAGCAAGUGCUCUGUUCUCAUCAUACUUCAGAUGAAUUUUGGUGCUUCAUCCCUAAUAUGGUUCAGGAAUGUAUCCCAAAGUGGAAUCCCGAGCUCAUAGAUUACGAAAGCUUCUUACUAGAAAAAUUCCAUUAAUGCUUCCUAUAACAUAAGUAUUGUUUGGCUGUGCUAGUAUGAAAUGAGUUCCUAUUUGUCUAUUUCAAAAUCAUUUUAUUACAGGUACACCUUACCUUGCCGCCGUUGUUAAAACUAUAUUCUACUGCCGUUGAAGAUAGAGAUAAAAACUUAACAGUUGUUUUUGAUAUGUUGGCAACGUUUAUUGGUACUCUAUGGAAAUAUUUUUUACUUUUUCUUGGUUGCUCUUGAUCUUCGUCGUCAAAGUCCUCGUUCAGUUCAAAACAUUAUGGCAUGGUUAAUAAGGUUGCCGAGAGCAUGUUCAAGCCUCUUUUUGUAAAUAGUAUUGAAUGGGCAGAAUCUGUAGUGGAUGAAACUGCAUCGGCGGGAAGCAUAGAUAGGGCCAUAUAUUUUUAUGGCAUGGUAAAUAAGCUUGCUGAGAACCAUCGGUCAUUGUUUGUUCCUUACUUCAAAUACCUACUUGGUAGUUGUGUUCAUCAUCUUGGCGACGACGGAGACUCUAAUGUGUCUAGUCUGGGCCUGAGAAUUAUUAAACAUUUUGUAGAUAACUUGGAAGAAGAAUAUUUAGUAUUAUUAGCGGAAACAAUCCUCUGCCUUUGUGAACUUCUCGAGGAUGUGGAGCUUUGAGUUAAAUCUCUUGCUCAAGAAAUUCAACAAGAAAUGAAGUCUAUGAGUGGGGAAAGCAUUCGACAAUACUUAUGAUCUUAGAUUAGGAAGGUAGUUUUCAUUGUAUCGUGAUGUGAUGAGUGUGAGCUAGAAAUGUGUAAUCAAAUAUAUGGAAAUCGUAUUGUAGUUCAAUGUACAUUAUGUCUAUUUUAAAGGAAGGUUCCAUUAUUUUAUUCUGAUAAAAGUUAAGUUCAAUUAUUUUUUUCACAUUAUAAUGCUUAUUUGAUAUUAGGAGAAUAAAAUAAUAAUAAUUUAAAGAAAGUUUUAAUAUUUAAAAAAUAAUACAAUUAAUAAAA